GCGAGCGCUCUACCAUUUGAGCUAAUUCCCCUUCGAAAGGACGUUAUUGUGGGCCUUAUUCUUGAAGAUAACCAUCCGAACAAUGGAUAUGGAUAUAGUUGUCGAGUCGUGGGUUGUUCUUGUGCUAAUAUUUGACGUACAACAGCGAGCUAGGGUCAUUUUAGCGCUGUACGGAACGGCACGGUACGCCCGUUGCUAGCUAGCAUUAGCGUUGACUAAUUUCGCUAAUGUUAGUAGCGAAGUACGUUAGCAACUAAACGUCAACGGUUUAACAGUUAACGGUUUAACAGUUAAACGUUAACGGUUUAACAGUUAACGGUUUAACAGUUAAACGUUAACGGUGUAACAGUUAACAGGAUUUAAGAACAUAAACUUCUACAUUUGUUUUUUUUUAAUGGCUCUGUAAUGUUACACAAACACGACAUUGCGUUGUACAACUCCAGAUAACCGCAACUCUCUUGACCAAGUCGGAAUAAUUUGAACAACAGCGAACGCGAACUUCUGCCGACUAGAGCGAAAUCGUGUUAGUUCGCCUUUACUUUAUCUAAAUCCCUAUAUAAAUUAUAUAUGAGUACGCUAUCGAUAUAAAACGGUAUAGUCGUCGUGUGUGGAUCAGCUCCCUUCGAUAGCUCAGUUGGUAGAGCGGAGGACUGUAGUGGAUACAUGGUAAUCCUUAGGUCGCUGGUUCGAAUCCGGCUCGAAGGAGAGAUUAUUUUGCCCAAAAUGCAAUUCGGUUUUGUUCCGCAACUGUUCAAACGUCCCAAAAACAUGGCAGUGCAAUUAAGAAAGAUCCUACCAAUAUAAAUCACUUUGUUUAUUUACUAAAUUGAAAGCUGAACCAGCGAUGGAAAAUAGUUUAUUUUAAAAACAACAACUUGUGCCGUACAACUUUAUUUGUCAAUUCGUAGUAUGGAGAGUUCACAGUCUGACAAGGGACUAGCCAAAGCAAAAAGGGAACAUAAUAAAAACACAAAUAUUACAGAUUUAUAUCGAGGAAGGAGUUGGAAACAUCCUGAUUACUAAUUGCCACAACUGUUCGCUGUUAACCUGGCAACUGUUUUGUUGACAGGAUGAGUACAUAUUGUGGUGGAGGAAUCUUCCCUUGAAAUUAUACGGUUUGCCCACCAACUACAGAGCCUAGAGGAGACAUUUUUCUGCCCAUACUGUUCAACUACGAAGAGGCCCAGGGAGCUGCACCGGUUGUACAAUUAAUUUAUCCUCAUGGUGGUAUCUGACAGCAAGACAACAUACAGUGCCACAGGUUGGAAACCACAGCUCUAAAGAUACUGUGAAACAUCUUAAAGACAGCAAGCUUCAGAACAUCUGAGUGUACCCAUGAUACUGCAGAUCCACAGCAGAGUAGAGCUCUUCUCCUGAGAGACAGCUGAAGGUAGACAGGAAAAGGGGGAUGAGAUGCAGCAAAGGGCCAAAGACUGGAAUCGAACCCAGGCCACUGCAGUGAGGAGCCUCAGCCUUUGUACAUGGAGUGCAAGCUCUACCAGGUAAGCUACUGGAACGCUCCGGAGUACCCCUUUUCCACCAAAUCUGGUUCUUGAACUGGAUUUAAAAACAGUCAACAAUAAAUAAUCUUCUUAUUGGGAACAAAC